UACGAAGGGGGCUAGCGUUGCUCGGAAUCACUGGGCGUAAAGCGCACGCAGGCGGAUCGUUAAGUCAGGGGUGAAAUGCCGAGGCUCAACCUCGGAACUGCCUUUGAUACUGGCGAUCUUAGAGUCCGGGAGAGGUGAGUGGAACUCCGAGUGUAGAGGUGAAAUUCGUAGAUAUUCGGAAGAACACCAGUGGCGAAGGCGGCUCACUGGCCCGGUACUGACGCUCAGGUGCGAAAGCGUGGGGAGCAAACAGG
rnacentral:rRNA from 1 species